AUUGAACGCUGGCGGCAGGCCUAACACAUGCAAGUCGAGCGGAUGAAGGGAGCUUGCUCCUGGAUUCAGCGGCGGACGGGUGAGUAAUGCCUAGGAAUCUGCCUGGUAGUGGGGGAUAACGUCCGGAAACGGGCGCUAAUACCGCAUACGUCCUGAGGGAGACAGUGGGGGAUCUUCGGACCUCACGCUAUCAGAUGAGCCUAGGUCGGAUUAGCUAGUUGGUGGGGUAAAGGCCUACCAAGGCGACGAUCCGUAACUGGUCUGAGAGGAUGAUCAGUCACACUGGAACUGAGACACGGUCCAGACUCCUACGGGAGGCAACAGUGGGGAAUAUUGGACAAUGGGCGAAAGCCUGAUCCAGCCAUGCCGCGUGUGUGAAGAAGGUCUUCUGAUUGUAAAGCACUUUAAGUUGGGAGGAAGGGCAGUAAGUUAAUACCUUGCUGUUUUGACGUUACCAACAGAAUAAGCACCGGCUAACUUCGUG
rnacentral:rRNA from 1 species